GAAAAUAAAAAUAAAAAAGUAUUAAUUCGUUUAUAAAGUUCCCAGACUUGCACACGGAGAAAAAAAUUCUGGCAAAAUUACCGAACUAUCCAGUGAUGUUUGUGGAGAAGUUUGAGGAAAGGUGUUUUCCAUUGGCCUGGGAUCAACAGGGUAGGAGAUAUGAAAUCAGGAAGAUUGGUUCCGGUACUUCAAUAAAUUUAGAGAUAAUGUUUUUUGAGUGAUAUUGGAUUGAUGAUGCCAUGGAUUGUUGCUGAUAAUGCCUUCUUCAGAGCUCUUUUUCAGAUAAACAUAGGACAAAC